AUUCAGCUGACGAGUUCAAAAUAGGACGAAACGCGCAUCCUGGAU
rnacentral:hammerhead_ribozyme from 1 species